AUCUAAAAAUAGGACAAAGCAAUUCAUUUUCUGACCAGCGUAAAUAUUCUUUCACACAUUUAAUGUGUCAAAAAAAAAAAUCACACAAAUCUCAUUAACCCAAGAAUGAAAAACACAAACACAACUACAAGAAUCUCCUAUAAAUACCCAUUCUGCAGAACUCUGAGAAACCACACACAGACAUUUACUCAAUCAAAGAUUACUACAAGAGCAAAGGAGGAGCAAAAGCUAAGGAUGGCGUCAAUUUGUCAAGGUAAGAGCGAAUGGCCUGAGCUAGUUGGGACGUGUGGAGAAGUAGCAGCAAAAACCAUCGAGAAGGAGAACUCCUUCGUCUCUGCCCUCAUUGUUACACCAUCCCAACCAGGGAUCAUUUUAAUUUUCAGUUGCGCCCGAGUAGUUGUUGCCGUCGAUGAGAAAGGCAUUGUUAUACGCGUGCCUACGAUUGGUUAAACUAAGCGGAUGGAGACGAUUCUUCAUUACUUCACUUGCCUUAUAGUUGGCUUGUAAUAUGAUUAAAAUAAAUAAGUCGUUCGAGGGUCGUCUUGCUGUUCUAAUUUGAUUUACUGUUUAAUAUGUUUUAUCAAUAAUAUGCGAGCUUUGUGUUUGCUUAAAUUUGGGACAUCGGAAGUGGGCCGGAAAAUUUGUUCUAUAGUAAUAGUGUAAAUGUUUCGUCAUUUUCGUGUCAUGUAUUGAAGCUUCAUAAGAUGUCAUGCAAAUAAAUUAAUUAACGUGAAGGAUAA